rnacentral:rRNA from 1 species
GACGAACGCUGGCGGCGUGCUUAACACAUGCAAGUCGAACGGAAAGGCUCCAGCUUGCUGGAGUACUCGAGUGGCGAACGGGUGAGUAACACGUGGGUAAUCUGCCCUGCACUCUGGGAUAAGCCUGGGAAACUGGGUCUAAUACUGGAUAUGACCUUUCUCCUUAUGGGGUUUGGUGGAAAGUUUUUCGGUGUAGGAUGAGCCCGCGGCCUAUCAGCUUGUUGGUGGGGUGAUGGCCUACCAAGGCGACGACGGGUAGCCGGCCUGAGAGGGUGAUCGGCCACAUUGGGACUGAGAUACGGCCCAGACUCCUACGGGAGGCAGCAGUGGGGUAUAUUGCACAAUGGGCGGAAGCCUGAUGCAGCGACGCCGCGUGAGGGAUGACGGCCUUCGGGUUGUAAACCUCUUUCAGCAGGGACGAAGCGUAAGUGACGGUACCUGCAGAAGAAGCACCGGCUAACUAUGUG